GAGAUUUUACAUCUGCUGAAGGAAAUCUUCUCUUUGAGCUAGCAUUUGACAUUGGAAUAUAAUCUUCACUAUCACCUUUGAAGGAG